ensembl:snRNA U6 U6 spliceosomal RNA
GUGCUCACUUUGGCGGCACGUACACGAAAACUGGAACAAUACAGAAAAGAUUUGCAUGGCCCCUGUGGAAGUAUUACAGAGGUCAGCAGAGACUUCACUGAGAAAUAU